rnacentral:lncRNA from 1 species
AGGUCUAAACGUAUACUAUGGUGAUGACUCCAGCCCAAGCACCCUUCCAAUUAUUUAUGAUCCAUCAUAUCGAUCUCUCGCAGUAUCCAUCUCAAGGAAUGCUGGAAAUCAAACACAGGAGACGAAAAGACAAAUUCCGGUUAGCGAGAAAACGUAAUAAUAAUUACAGUACUAUAUUAGUAGUACGCAUCAAAAAAGAAUGAUGACGGUCCAAAUCAAAACCAAAAGCAGCAAAAAGAAAAAAAGAAAAAAAAAAAAGAAACACUAAGCGCAGCACCUGUUGCAGUUAGUACUAGAAGAGAUGGGGAAAGGCAAGGAGACACCACACCGUCCAGGAAGGCUUGUGGCAGCAUCCGGCUUGAGAUUUGGGAAGUGGCCGGCGGCAGACUUGACGCAGUUGCAUGCAGUUCGCCUAUCUUGUUGGGUAGGGAUGCUCCCCAAGUUUUUCACUCCACUACAGCAUGAACUUGAUGGAGUGCCUCCUUGGGUGAGAUACGGCACGCAAGGCUCAAGUUCGUGGGUAACUUGUUCACAGGUGAUUGCUUCACCUGGCCUUGCCACCAAGACUAGCACCAGAACAAGACUUACCACUGCAACCACCUUCAUCAUGUUUUCGCCGGAUCAACUAGUAGUAUACGAUUUGCGCGGAAUAUACUCGAGUGAGAGGGGU